UUCCCCACCAUGAAAUCCCUAGCUUCUCUCGUUCCCCACGCACGCCGACGCCCGACGCGGGUCGAUCCCCACGCCUCCCACCUCCGGCCACGCCGCCCGGGGCUACCGCCGGUCGAUUCCCACGCCGUCCCGCCGCCGCCCCACGCCUCCUUGCCGCUGCAGCGCCGCCCCACGCCGUACUGCCCUAUAGCGCCGCCCAACGCCGUCCUACCUCUCCACCGCCGGCUCCACGCCCUCGUGCUCUCUCUCGCGGUGGCCGCCUCCAUCCAGUGAACUUGCUGCCACCCUCCCUGGCCCGACCUCCCCCAUCUCGAGCAUCCAGCUCAAGAAGACACACGCAGCGGCGGCGGCGCGAUUUGGAUCAGGGCAGCGUGCGGCUGGUCAACGGCAUCCCUCUGUCUUUGGCUGGGCAAGGGCACCGAUGCGGGCGAGUAAUCAUCCUAGGGGAGACAGUUGCCUUCCCCAAAUAACAUUCAGAUCAAGUCUGGUGCUGUGGUAACCAAAGGAAGUUGCUACCUGUUCUGUGAACAUAUACUCCCUCCGUCCGAAAAAGCUUUUUCGGACGGAGGGAGUACUAUGUAACCAAAGGAGUAUUAUAUAUACCUGGGGACGGGUCACAUUGGUGUUAAAUCAGCUGUCUGUUGCCUUCACCGCAAGCAAGCUAAAUGCCAACGAACCAACCAAAUCUUCUUCAGACAGAGCAAAGGUCAGAAUGCCGAGUAGUAUAUGCAAACUACGUACCAAAUCAUCCUUUUCCUUUCUUUAGCGUGCGCAUUUUGGUUGGACAGGCCGUGAUAUUCUGAAUGUUCAACUAUAAAGAUCGGAACACAGGUUUUUCUUCUCUUUCUGCUAGGACAGAUAUAGAUGGAUUAGUUCUUAAAGCAAGUGAUACUGAAAAGAAGUGUUGUGUACGAUCCUCUAAUGUUUAUAACUCCUAGCUCGCAGCAUGUUUCCAAUUCUCGACGAGUAAUGAACUAUUUCCACAUCUUUACAUUCAAUUAAUAAUCCAUCUUGCAUGCGAUAACUCUAUUUCCAUAUUGUUGUCUGAUAGAACUCAAGAGUUGAAGAUGAGGAAAACAAUGAUGGUGAAGAAGAUGAUGAAGACGAUGAUGAAGAUGAUGAUGAAGAGCCCUUUGUUCGUAGAAGAGUUAUUGCAAAGCCCCCCUGCAAAAAGCUCCAAAUCCCAUCAAGAUGAAAUACUAAUUGGUAUGGAUGUGCUUCUAUAUGCAUGGACUGGUCCUGAAACUCCUGUUGCUAAGGCAGCAAUUAUCUCAGUUGUCCAGACAUAAUUGCGGGCUCGGAUCCCCUUGGACCAGCACUUAUGAGGUUGUUGCCAAUGUUGUGAUCAGAAGGGAUGCUACGCUUCCUUAUGAAUAUGAUGGUUUACGAUUUGUCACUGAUGCAGUCACAAGGUCCAUUGCAUGGCCAUCUAGCAAGCCCUACAAGCCAGGGGCAUCUUCAUCAUCUCGCCGCUAAGCACGCGCAAUUUCUCCAUUCUAACUAGGCAUGAAGAAGGCGCCCACCCAUGAGCUAUUAAUCAGAAAGACAAACAAAAGGAGCGGAAGGAACCAUGAAGAUGGCAGUUUGCAACAGCUAGGCAUUUUGUGUAAUGCAGCAAAAACAGCGUCUUUUAGUAUCAUUUUGUAAACCUAUAUGGUGCCUCGUCAUCUGGGUAGUUUGUGUAAUGGAGCAAACAAUGAAUUGGCGGACAUGCAUCUAUCAUUUUGUAAAUCUAUCAGGUGAUUCCGUGACUACAACAUAAAUGUUGGGAUGCUGAUGAGAAUUAAUUAAUGUGUUAUCCUUUUUGGUCCUGAUUUAA